rnacentral:rRNA from 2 species
CAUUGGAUCCAGACUUUGAUCAUGGCUCAGGAUGAACGCUAGCUACAGGCUUAACACAUGCAAGUCGAGGGGCAGCAUGACGAUAGCUUGCUAUUGUUGAUGGCGACCGGCGCACGGGUGAGUAACGCGUAUCCAACCUGCCCUUGUCCAUCGGAUAACCCGUCGAAAGGCGGCCUAACACGAUAUGCAGUUCUCAGCAGGCAUCUAACGAGAACGAAAUGUGAAGGAGAAGGAUGGGGAUGCGUCUGAUUAGCUUGUUGGCGGGGUAACGGCCCACCAAGGCGACGAUCAGUAGGGGUUCUGAGAGGAAGGUCCCCCACAUUGGAACUGAGACACGGUCCAAACUCCUACGGGAGGCAGCAGUGAGGAAUAUUGGUCAAUGGGCGGGAGCCUGAACCAGCCAAGUAGCGUGCAGGAAGACGGCCCUAUGGGUUGUAAACUGCUUUUAUGCGGGGAUAAAGUGAGCCACGUGUGGCUUAUUGCAGGUACCGCAUGAAUAAGGACCGGCUAAUUCCGUGCCAGCAGCCGCGGUAAUACGGAAGGUCCGGGCGUUAUCCGGAUUUAUUGGGUUUAAAGGGAGCGUAGGCCGUCUGAUAAGCGUGUUGUGAAAUGUCGGGGCUCAACCUGGGCAUCGCAGCGCGAACUGUCAGACUUGAGUGCGCGGGAAGUAGGCGGAAUUCGUCGUGUAGCGGUGAAAUGCUUAGAUAUGACGAAGAACUCCGAUUGCGAAGGCAGCCUGCUGUAGCGCAACUGACGCUGAAGCUCGAAAGCGUGGGUAUCGAACAGGAUUAGAUACCCUGGUAGUCCACGCGGUAAACGAUGGAUGCUCGCUGUUUGCGUCUGACGUAAGCGGCCAAGCGAAAGCGUUAAGCAUCCCACCUGGGGAGUACGCCGGCAACGGUGCAACUCAAAGGAAUUGACGGAA